CACUACAAGAAAACAUAGCCAUUUCCGAGAAAAAUUUCCGACAAAAUGUUUGGUCGGAAAUUUUCCGACAGGUUUCCGACGAGUUUCCGAUAAGAUUCCGAGAAAAAAAAAAUUCGUCGGAAAAUCGUCGAAAAAAGAGAAAAAUUUCCGACGACCACAAAUUCGUCGGAACUUUGUCGGAAUGAUUCAUCGGAAAACAUGGAAAAUUUUGACUAUUUAAUUUUGUCAGAAAUUGGUCGGAAAUUGGUCGGAAACUGGUCGGAAAACUCGUCGUAAAUAUUAGGUGAACACAUGUUUAUUCACUGCACAUUUCCCGACAAAAUUCAGACGCUUUGGUCGGAAAUAUUAGUCGGAAAAAUCGUCAGAAAUUAUGAGUAUCAACCUUUAAUAUUUCCGACGAAUUUCCGACGAAACUUAAGUCGGAAAGUUUUGUUAGUCGGAAAUUUGUCGGAAAGUUUAGUCGGAAAUUCGUCGGAAAUUAUUUAUUUAAUCAUUUUUAUUUAAAAAAAAAACAAAAAAUAAAUAAUUUAUAAUAAAUAAAUAAUUAAUUUCGUCGGAAAGUCGUCAGAAAUAUUAUUUUGAAUUUUUUUUUGAAAAAAUUAAAUAAUUUAUAAUUAAGUAAAUAAUUAAUUAAUAAUUAAUUUCGUCGGAAAUUCGUCAGAAAUUUCUACGUUCGUCGGAAUUUCGUCGGAAAAUGUAUGAUUUUUCAUGUUCCCGCCUUUGUACAUUCAAUUCAAAUGAAUUUACCGCGUUUUGUAGUUUCCGACAAAUUUCCGACGAAGUACAUUGUCGGAAAUUUUUUCUAUAUAUACCAAAUGAGUUUUCAUCCAUUUCACAAUUCCAAACACAACAAUCUCAAUCUCUAUUAACAUCUUCUUCUCUCUACUUCAAACAUCAUUCCUUUUUUUAAAGUUCAACAUUUCAUUCUCUUGUUCAAUUAAUAGAGACAUUUAUGUAUUUAUAUAUUUAUUCAUUUUAAUUAAUUUAAUUUUAAUUCUCAUUUGUUGAUAAUGAAAAUUGGUUAUGUGACAAUUAAUCUAUUUUUGUAGAUAUUCAAUAAUUAUUUUAAUUUUAACUAUAAUACUCUUAUUUGUUUUUUUUUUGUUUUUUUUUUAAAAUAGAAAAGUCGUCGGAAUUUUGUCGGAAUUAAUUUCGGUAUAUAUUUAUUUUUAUUUUAAAAGUGGUUG
rnacentral:lncRNA from 1 species